rnacentral:rRNA from 1 species
UGGGGAAUAUUGGACAAUGGGCGCAAGCCUGAUCCAGCAAUGCCGCGUGUGUGAAGAAGGUUUUCGGAUUGUAAAGCACUUUCGGCGGGGACGAUGAUGACGGUACCCGCAGAAGAAGCCCCGGCUAACUUCGUGCCAGCAGCCGCGGUAAUACGAAGGGGGCUAGCGUUGCUCGGAAUGACUGGGCGUAAAGGGCGCGUAGGCGGAUGGAACAGUCAGAUGUGAAAUUCCUGGGCUCAACCUGGGGGCUGCAUUUGAUACGUUUGAUCUAGAGUGAGGAAGAGGGUCGUGGAAUUCCCAGUGUAGAGGUGAAAUUCGUAGAUAUUGGGAAGAACACCGGUGGCGAAGGCGGCGACCUGGUCCUUUUACUGACGCUGAGGCGCGAAAGCGUGGGGAGCAAACAGGAUUAGAUACCCUGGUAGUCCACGCUGUAAACGAUGUGUGCUGGAUGUUGGGGACCCUAGGUCUUCAGUGUCGAAGCUAACGCGCUAAGCACACCGCCUGGGGAGUAC